GGGUUGUGAGGUUAAGCGACUAAGCGUACACGGUGGAUGCCCUGGCAGUCAGAGGCGAUGAAGGACGUGCUAAUCUGCGAAAAGCGCCGGCGAGGUGAUAUGAACCCUUGACCCGGCGAUGUCCGAAUGGGGAAACCCAGUGCAAUCCGUUGCACUAUCGUUAACUGAAUACAUAGGUUAACGAGGCGAACCGGGGGAACUGAAACAUCUAAGUACCCCGAGGAAAAGAAAUCAACCGAGAUUCCCCCAGUAGCGGCGAGCGAACGGGGAGCAGCCCGGAGUCUGAAUCAGCUUGUGUGUUAGUGGAACGGUCUGGAAAGUCCGACGGUACAGGGUGAUAGUCCCGUACACGAAAGCACACAUGCUGUGAACUCGAAGAGUAGGGCGGGACACGUGGUAUCCUGUCUGAAUAUGGGGGGACCAUCCUCCAAGGCUAAAUACUCCUGACUGACCGAUAGUGAACCAGUACCGUGAGGGAAAGGCGAAAAGAACCCCGGCGAGGGGAGUGAAAAAGAACCUGAAACCGUGUACGUACAAGCAGUGGGAGCCUCUUUAUGGGGUGACUGCGUACCUUUUGUAUAAUGGGUCAGCGACUUAUAUUCUGUAGCAAGGUUAACCGUAUAGGGGAGCCGAAGGGAAACCGAGUCUUAACUGGGCGUUAAGUUGCAGGGUAUAGACCCGAAACCCGGUGAUCUAGCCAUGGGCAGGUUGAAGGUUGGGUAACACUAACUGGAGGACCGAACCGACUAAUGUUGAAAAAUUAGCGGAUGACCUGUGGCUGGGGGUGAAAGGCCAAUCAAACCGGGAGAUAGCUGGUUCUCCCCGAAAGCUAUUUAGGUAGCGCCUCGUGAACUCAUCUUCGGGGGUAGAGCACUGUUUCGGCUAGGGGGCCAUCCCGGCUUACCAACCCGAUGCAAACUACGAAUACCGAAGAAUGUUAUCACGGGAGACACACGGCGGGUGCUAACGUCCGUCGUGAAGAGGGAAACAACCCAGACCGCCAGCUAAGGUCCCAAAGUCAUGGUUAAGUGGGAAACGAUGUGGGAAGGCACAGACAGCCAGGAUGUUGGCUUAGAAGCAGCCAUCAUUUAAAGAAAGCGUAAUAGCUCACUGGUCGAGUCGGCCUGCGCGGAAGAUGUAACGGGGCUAAACCAUGCACCGAAGCUGCGGCAGCGACGCUUAUGCGUUGUUGGGUAGGGGAGCGUUCUGUAAGCCGUUGAAGGUGUGCUGUGAGGCAUGCUGGAGGUAUCAGAAGUGCGAAUGCUGACAUAAGUAACGAUAAAGCGGGUGAAAAGCCCGCUCGCCGGAAGACCAAGGGUUCCUGUCCAACGUUAAUCGGGGCAGGGUGAGUCGACCCCUAAGGCGAGGCCGAAAGGCGUAGUCGAUGGGAAACAGGUUAAUAUUCCUGUACUUGGUGUUACUGCGAAGGGGGGACGGAGAAGGCUAUGUCAGCCGGGCGACGGUUGUCCCGGUUUAAGCAUGUAGGCGGAGGUUCCAGGUAAAUCCGGUACCUUAUUAACGCUGAGGUGUGAUGACGAGGCACUACGGUGCUGAAGUGAUAAAUGCCCUGCUUCCAGGAAAAGCCUCUAAGCAUCAGGUAACACGAAAUCGUACCCCAAACCGACACAGGUGGUCAGGUAGAGAAUACCAAGGCGCUUGAGAGAACUCGGGUGAAGGAACUAGGCAAAAUGGUGCCGUAACUUCGGGAGAAGGCACGCUGAUAUGUAGGUGAAGCCCCUGCGGGCGGAGCUGAAAUCAGUCGAAGAUACCAGCUGGCUGCAACUGUUUAUUAAAAACACAGCACUGUGCAAACACGAAAGUGGACGUAUACGGUGUGACGCCUGCCCGGUGCCGGAAGGUUAAUUGAUGGGGUUAGCGGCAACGCGAAGCUCUUGAUCGAAGCCCCGGUAAACGGCGGCCGUAACUAUAACGGUCCUAAGGUAGCGAAAUUCCUUGUCGGGUAAGUUCCGACCUGCACGAAUGGCGUAAUGAUGGCCAGGCUGUCUCCACCCGAGACUCAGUGAAAUUGAACUCGCUGUGAAGAUGCAGUGUACCCGCGGCAAGACGGAAAGACCCCGUGAACCUUUACUAUAGCUUGACACUGAACACUGGUCCUUGAUGUGUAGGAUAGGUGGGAGGCUUUGAAGCGUGGACGCCAGUCUGCGUGGAGCCAACCUUGAAAUACCACCCUUUAAUGGCUGGUGUUCUAACGUAGACCCGUAAUCCGGGUUGCGGACAGUGUCUGGUGGGUAGUUUGACUGGGGCGGUCUCCUCCCAAAGAGUAACGGAGGAGCACGAAGGUUGGCUAAUCCUGGUCGGACAUCAGGAGGUUAGUGCAAUGGCAUAAGCCAGCUUGACUGCGAGCGUGACGGCGCGAGCAGGUGCGAAAGCAGGUCAUAGUGAUCCGGUGGUUCUGAAUGGAAGGGCCAUCGCUCAACGGAUAAAAGGUACUCCGGGGAUAACAGGCUGAUACCGCCCAAGAGUUCAUAUCGACGGCGGUGUUUGGCACCUCGAUGUCGGCUCAUCACAUCCUGGGGCUGAAGUAGGUCCCAAGGGUAUGGCUGUUCGCCAUUUAAAGUGGUACGCGAGCUGGGUUUAGAACGUCGUGAGACAGUUCGGUCCCUAUCUGCCGUGGGCGCUGGAGAAUUGAGGGGGGCUGCUCCUAGUACGAGAGGACCGGAGUGGACGCAUCACUGGUGUUCGGGUUGUCAUGCCAAUGGCAUUGCCCGGUAGCUAAAUGCGGAAGAGAUAAGUGCUGAAAGCAUCUAAGCACGAAACUUGCCCCGAGAUGAGUUCUCCCUGAGACUUUAAGUCUCCUGAAGGAACGUUGAAGACGACGACGUUGAUAGGUCGGGUGUGUAAGCGCAGCGAUGCGUUGAGCUAACCGAUACUAAUGAACCGUGAGGCUUAACCUUACAACGCCGAAGGUGUUU
rnacentral:rRNA from 1 species